rnacentral:rRNA from 1 species
AGUGAACGCUGGCGGUAGGCCUAACACAUGCAAGUCGAACGGCAGCACAGAAGAGCUUGCCCUCUGGGUGGCGAGUGGCGGACGUGUGAGGAAUACAUCGGAAUCUACUCUGUCGUGGGGGAUAACGUAGGGAAACUUACGCUAAUACCGCAUACGACCUACGGGUGAAAGCAGGGGAUCUUCGGACCUUGCGCGAUUGAAUGAGCCGAUGUCGGAUUAGCUAGUUGGCGGGGUAAAGGCCCACCAAGGCGACGAUCCGUAGCUGGUCUGAGAGGAUGAUCAGCCACACUGGAACUGAGACACGGUCCAGACUCCUACGGGAGGCAGCAGUGGGGUAUAUUGGACAAUGGGCGCAAGCCUGAGCCAGCCAUACCGCGUGGGUGAAGAAGGCCUUCGGGUUGUAAAGCCCUUUUGUUGGGAAAGAAAUCCAGCUGGCUAAUACCCGGUUGGGAUGACGGUACCCAAAGAAUAAGCACCGGCUAACUUCGUGCCAGCCGCCGCCGUAA